rnacentral:rRNA from 1 species
GACAGAGGGGGCAAGCGUUGCUCGGAAUUACUGGGCGUAAAGCGCACGUAGGCGGAUCUUUAAGUCAGAGGUGAAAUCCCAAGGCUCAACCUUGGAACUGCCUUUGAUACUGGGGAUCUCGAGUUCGGGAGAGGUGAGUGGAACUGCGAGUGUAGAGGUGAAAUUCGUAGAUAUUCGCAAGAACACCAGUGGCGAAGGCGGCUCACUGGCCCGAUACUGACGCUGAGGUGCGAAAGCGUGGGGAGCAAACAGG